rnacentral:rRNA from 1 species
CCUACGGGUGGCAGCAGUGGGGAAUAUUGCGCAAUGGGCGAAAGCCUGACGCAGCGACGCCGCGUGAGGGAUGAAGGUCUUCGGAUCGUAAACCUCUGUCAGCAGGGAAGAACGGGCACUGUGCUAAUCAGCAGUGAAUUGACGGUACCUGCAAAGGAAGCACCGGCUAACUCCGUGCCAGCAGCCGCGGUAAUACGGAGGGUGCGAGCGUUAAUCGGAAUUACUGGGCGUAGAGCGCGCGUAGGCGGUCUGUCCAGUCAAGGGUGAAAUCCCCGGGCUCAACGUGGGAACUGCCUUGGAAACUGGCAAGCUGGAGUGUGUGAGAGGAUAGUGGAAUUCCAGGUGUAGCAGUGAAAUCCGUAGAUAUCUGGAGGAACAUCAGUGGCGAAGGCGACUAUCUGGCCCAUAACUGACGCUGAGGAGCGAAAGCGUGGGUAGCAAACAGGAUUAGAUACCCGUGUAGUC